UGAGUGGUGUUUGGUUUGUUACGGUGGUUGGCUCUCAGCUUAUGCUACAACUUCCACCGUGCUUACCUUUUCAGUUGUCUGUCUAGGCCUGUAGUGCCUAGGCGGAAAGUGGGUUUCCUGUGUUGCCUACCUAAGUGACGGUAUUGUGCUGAUCGAUGAGCGUCCCUUUUCGUCGUUUGUUAUGUUGAUGACGUUAGACGAACCAUAAAGCUGUCUCUUUGAACCACGCCAUCGUUUGUCGAUGUUGUGGAACAUUGAGCAUCGCUUGGUCUCUUGGAUACGGAACAUGAUGUGGGCAUGAGGUCUCUUGAGAUCCAUGUUCUGCCCUCAGUGAGCGUUGUCGCUUCUCUUGAAAACGACUUCCCGACACGCAUUGGCUCGUACCAGCGUGUCGGGUCAAGUCAUAGAGGAAUGCUACCUGGUUGAUCCUGCCAGUAGUCA
rnacentral:misc_RNA from 1 species